UUCCCUGUGGCUCAGUUGGUAGAGCAUGGUGUGUGCAAUGCCAGGGUUGUGGGUUCGAUUCCCACGGGGGACC
rnacentral:tRNA from 1 species